AUGGGUAUUAAUUUCAGUUUCGCUUUGAGCGCCAGCUGUUCUCCUGUAGGAAACAUCUGCCACCUCUUGGGAGGUCCCGAUGUCAUUUCGGACGUGACAGAGAGUGUCAGGGUGACACGGCUCCCAGCGAGAGAAGGGUGCGUCACGGGGCGCCGCUGUGAAUUUAUAGGAGCGGGGCAUGGGCGCGAGCUACGGUGUGGGAGGUCAACGGAGGCCUUCGCGUGUCAAGAAGCAUUGUCGAACUGCGCGCGUCGCCGUCGCCGAACAGCGGCCCGGCACACGUGCUACAGACGAGCGCAAGACGCAGCCCUUUUUCUUCAAUUGCUUUCUUCUGCGGAUUGGAGUCGGGUUGAGGAAACCGCUGAGACGAAGUUCUCCGAGCGCUCGGAUCGUCUCGGAUGGGAAGAGUUCGUGGAACCACGGGUGCUGCAGAUGUCCACUCGGAUAUUUGAGGCCACAGCUCAGUACCGUGUUUUCCCACUCCUAAUACACCGCUGGAUCCCCUCCAGGUGGAAACAGCCUCCGAUGCCGUCGUUCCCGGGAGGUGACCUUUAAGGCGCCCACGCCCGGCUCCUCCCCUAACCAGGGGUCAGAUUGUCUCGCCUUUGAUGCUCCUGAAGGUCAGAGAGAGGGGAAAGGGGGGUAAAAAAACCACCCCUCAAUUCUGCCACCAAUCGAUGCCUUUUUAUAUUCCUCUGAAACAGACCGGCUGGAUGUUUAGGUCUCCACAGCUUCAAAGCGAAACCAAACAGCUUCCAGCAUGGAGAGGUUUCUUGACCACUGAGUCUAGUAAUAGCAAAAAGGUAUUUAAUAACACCGGCUAUUUUAAAGUAAAUUAAAAUGCUUUCAACUGGUCCUACGGGUGAGAUGGCACCAGACUUACUGGUGUCAUUAUGGCACAAAUUUUAGCUUCUUUACAAUAAUUCAUACACCUGUAAGGGUUAUAGUUCCGGCAAUUAUGCAAGCAACUUAUGAUUUAAAAUGCUUACCUUUAAUUUAUAUGAAUUAAACCCUUACUGCUUCGGGCCUUAAGUAAAUAAGCACCAAUAGGCAUUUUAAUAUCCAGUUACAGCAUUGCCUUUCUUUCACAUUAUAUUCUCAUUUUCCUGAAUAUAAUGCAUCGUAGUGCAUAACAUAUAUAGCAGGAGCACAGUUACAGUGCUGAUGAUCAUAAGCUUGGAUAUACAGGAUACUGUGGGCGGCACAUUCCAGAUUUAGAAGGCUUACAAAGGCAGAGAAGGAUGGGAUGGAGAUGUCCAGCAAGAUGAGGGUGAUCCCAGCAGGCAAAAGAAAGUGUGGGAAGAAACUCGAGACUGAAAAUUCGUUCAGCAGACGUUUUGGAGAAAAGCUGAGGCUCUCGGAAUUCAGAAGUCCAGGUUUUGGAAGCGAACUCAAGCAGUGUUUGAAGUCCAGAUUGACAUCAACCGAGGAUGUCUGACUGUGUAAAAAUGACUGCUGUCAGUGUCGCAGAUGGAACUGGUGGGAAAUGACACUGGUUGUAAAGAGAGCCUUGGAAAGCACCAAGGACUGAUCACAAGGGCCUGAUCAGAUGGACAUGGACAUAACAUUUACCUGGCUGGCAAAAUUCCAUGACUGACAUAAUAAUUCCAUAUGUAAACUGCUUUUGACUUUCUUUUCUUUUGAAUUUUAUCAUUACAUAAUGUUAUAUCUAUUGUAUAAUAUAUAUCUUAGUCGUGAUGAAAUUUGUUUACCAUUCGGUUUGCAGGUUUCAGAUGAUCAUUAAAUCAGGCUGAAUGAAUUGUUGGUUGUGGUAAAGUAACCCCUCUUACAGUGCUGCCCUCUGUAUUUCUGUUACUCCAUCCUAUAUGAAAAGAGAAACAGUCUUUUAUUAUUGGAAAAAAGCAGUUUUUCUGCUUUAGUGGGAAGUAGUAAUUCAGCCAUUUACAUUUACAGCAUAUCCCAUUGUUAUCCUUCCCCCUUCUGUAAUUGUGCUUAAAUUCUGCAGAACAAAGUUUUUAUGGGCACUGAGGGGAAAAGUCUCACACCAUGAAAAGAAUAUUAAAAAAAUAAAAAGGCUUAACCUAAAACCUAGUGUAUUUUA
ensembl:lncRNA